CCGUCUCGAAAAAAAAAACAACGAAAAGGGGACUCACUUCGGAGAAGCUGCCCUCUCUGCAAACUUAUUUGAAGUAGGACUACUACUAGACUCUCAUUUGACCUCUCCUUUGGGAAUCGCAGGGUAUAUAGUGCCCACUGAUUGGUGGGAAUUUUGUCAAGGUGGGUGUGAUAAUCUGGCUUCUUUCCCUUCCCAGCUCUUUAUAGUCUUUCUUUCUUUUUUAUCGUUCUCUCCCUCUCUCUCUUUAGAGAUGUGGUCUUGCUAUGUUGCCCGGGCUGAGUGCAGUGACUAUUCACAGGCCGGAUCUAGUGCACUGCAGUCUUGAACUCCUGGCUUACAGUCCUGCUGGUUCUGAGAGGCAGGGGAAGAAACGGCCACCAUGCUCUGCAGCUAGG
rnacentral:lncRNA from 1 species